UAGAGUUAUGCAAGAUGAAGCUGGCUCACUUCCGAAAGCUUUCUAGGUUCAAGGUAAUGCAGGAAUCAAUAGGAUGGAAUACUGCAAAGGGAAGCUUGGAGAGAGAAUAGCCUCUGCACUUUGACUGUUUUGCAGUUAACCAAAGGCCAUCGAGGAUCAGAAUUACAAAAAUCAAACAGACCCAUGAGCUUGAGCUCAGUUGUGCAAAAUGUUUGUCAGUCAUCUCUCUUCAAAACAAACACAGGACAUCUUCUUAAAUUCUACCUCUGUUAAACUAUACUUCCCAAACAAGAACCUAUCAAACCCAGAGACAUUUCCUUCUAUUAAAAUAACAAAAUUAGGCUGAUGACAGUCAAACUCUUAGCCAAAUACAAUAGCUGGAUCUAAAACCAUUCAGUUCUCAGUGCAGUGAACUUAAAUGGCCACUAGGCAGGUGAAAGUCAAAAGGAUCAAAACCAGCUUUCUCCUCCAUUCUACCAAUCAGGCUAAGAAUUACUAUGUGCCCAGCUUGGUAGCCACAGGGGUGCUCUAGAGGAUAUAAAUAAGUAUUUGCAUGUGUUCUACAUAGGCUUUGAGGAAGCUUAUAGGAAAUAUCUGACCUGGAAGCAUAUUAGAAAAGGAAAUAGGAGCUGCACUACAGCACUGUUCAAAAUAACUUUCUGCAAAAAUAAUGAAAAUAUUCAAUAUCUGUGCUGUGCAACACAGUGGCCACUAGCCACAUGUGUCUACUGAGCACCUGAAGAUGAAUAGUGUCAAAUGAGGAACUAGAUUUUUAAGUUUAUGUCAUUUUAAUAAAUUAAAAUUUUGAUUGAUUGAUCGACUGAGACAGAGUCUUGCUCUGUCACCCAGU
rnacentral:lncRNA from 10 species